rnacentral:rRNA from 1 species
AUUGAACGCUAGCGGCAUGCUUAACACAUGCAAGUCGAACGGUAACAGUCCUAGCUUGCUAGGAGCUGACGAGUGGCGGACGGGUGAGUAACGCGUAGGAAUUUACCUUGUAGAGGGGGAUAACUUGGGGAAACCCAAGCUAAUACCGCAUAAGCCCUAAGGGGGAAAGCGUGGGACCGAAAGGCCACGUGCUAUGAGAUGAGCCUGCGUCGGAUUAGCUAGUUGGUGGGGUAAAGGCCUACCAAGGCGAAGAUCCGUAGCUGGUUUGAGAGGACGACCAACCACACUGGGACUGAGACACGGCCCAGACUCCUACGGGAGGCAGCAGUGGGGAAUAGUGGACAAUGGGCGCAAGCCUGAUCCAGCAAUGCCGCGUGUGUGAAGAGGGCCUGCGGGUUGUAAAGCACUUUCGGUGGGGAGGAAGGCCUGAUGGUUAAUAGUCAUCAGGAUUGACGUUACCCACAGAAGAAGCACCGGCUAACUCUGUGCCAGCAGCCGCCGUAAUAC